rnacentral:rRNA from 1 species
GACGAACGCUGGCGGCGUGCUUAACACAUGCAAGUCGAACGGAAAGGCCCCUUCGGGGGUCCUCGAGUGGCGAACGGGUGAGUAACACGUGAGUAACCUGCCCUUGACUUCGGGAUAACUUCAGGAAACUGGGGCUAAUACCGGAUAGGAAUCCUUGCUGCAUGGUGGGGGUUGGAAAGCUUCGGCGGUUUUGGAUGGACUCGCGGCUUAUCAGCUUGUUGGUGGGGUAGUGGCUUACCAAGGCUUUGACGGGUAGCCGGCCUGAGAGGGCGACCGGCCACAUUGGGACUGAGAUACGGCCCAGACUCCUACGGGAGGCAGCAGUGGGGAAUAUUGCACAAUGGGCGGAAGCCUGAUGCAGCAACGCCGCGUGCGGGAUGACGGCCUUCGGGUUGUAAACCGCUUUCAGCAGGGGCGAAGCUUGUGGUGACGGUACCUGCAGAAGAAGCACCGGCGAACUACGU